GAAAUGCGAUAAGUAAUGUGAAUUGCAGAAUUCAGUGAAUCAUCGAAUCUUUGAACGCACCUUGCGCUCCUUGGUAUUCCUUGGAGCAUGCCUGUUUGAGUAUCAUGAAAUCUUCAAAGUAAAACUUUUGUUAACUCAAUUGGUUUCUACUUUGGUAUUGGAGGUCUUUGCAGCUUCACACCUUCUCCUCUUUGUUCAUUAGCUGGAUCUCAGUGUUAUGCUUGGUUCCACUCGGCGUGAUAAGUUAUCUAUCGCUGAGGACACUGUAAAAGGUGGCCAAGGUAAAUGCAGAUGAACCGCUUCUAAUAGUCCAUUGACUUGGACAAUACUUUUAUGAUCUGAUCUCAAAUCAGGUAGGACUACCCGCUGAACUUAAGC
rnacentral:misc_RNA from 1 species